rnacentral:rRNA from 1 species
UACGUAGGUGGCAAGCGUUGUCCGGAUUUAUUGGGUUUAAAGGGUGCGUAGGCGGCUUUGUAAGUCAGUGGUGAAAUAUGGCAGCUCAACUGUCAGGGUGCCAUUGAUACUGCAGAGCUUGAGUACAGAUGAGGUAGGCGGAAUUGACGGUGUAGCGGUGAAAUGCUUAGAUAUCGUCAAGAACACCGAUAGCGAAGGCAGCUUACUGGGCUGUAACUGACGCUGAGGCACGAAAGUGUGGGGAGCAAACAGG